rnacentral:misc_RNA from 1 species
AACGCACAUUGCGCCCUUUGGCAUUCCGAAGGGCAUGCCUGUUCGAGCGUCAUUAUCACCCCUCAAGCCCCCGGCUUGGUGUUGGACGGUUUGGCGGAGGCCCCUCUCGGGGGCCCUCGCCCCUCCCAAAGACAAUGACGGCGGCCUCGUUGGACCCCCGGUACACUGAGUUCUUCACGGGACAUGUACUGGAGUAAGGGUGCGCGGGGCACGGUCUGCCUCCCUUUCCAGGGAGAAUUUUAUCUACAAGGUUGACCUCGGAUCAGGUAGGGAUACCCGCUGAACUUAA